UCGUGGUGGGUUUGGGAAAAUGUACAUUGAUUUUUAUUCUUUGAAAUUAAGUGAUGACGUAUAACAUUUUUGUGUAUGUUUCGCUCUAAUUUUCUUAAAUUUAUUUCAUUUUAAGCAGAAAAUUAAACUUAGAUUUAAAUAACUUCUCAGCGAACUGUUUCACAUCGAAUCCUUCGAUUUUAAACUAAUUGUUUUACGUUUUUUAUAAGUAUUAAUAUACGUUAAAAUUAUUAUCUAAAAUAUCAUCCGGCGGCCACAAUAUUCAGUUUUAGGUUUAGAGCAAUUUUAAAGACUAAUCGGAAACUUCCAUUUGAGUGAAUUAAUGUAAACAAAGUUUAAUUACUGACCGUUCUAUAUGUAAAUUUUUAUAAAAGGUUGAACUUUGUGUCAUUUGUUUCCGCAGAAAAACAAACGAAACUUUGUCCUCUUUGUCCGAAGAGAUUUUCCAGCGGAGCAUCCCUUUGGAGACAUUCCAGGACCCAUCUACAGAACGCUCCUCGUUAUAGUUGUCCUUUCUGUUACUACAUCUCGGACAGGAAGGACGCCGUCUUACGUCACAAGCGACAAGUUCAUCACGUGACGUAACUGUCACUUCGCUCGGCUCCUUGUUCAACUACCGACUUGUGAUCGAUUGUUGCUUUCCGAAUUUUUAAAGUUAUUUUAUUAAAUAAAAGUUGAAUUGAGAAAGUUUUUUUCCGUAUCGAAUAUAUUAUUUUACUAAAAAUUGAUCGUUUUAUUAAAUAAAUUUUCCUAUUAAUAAAAAGUUUUUUGUCGGUUUUGACCGUUGGAUUAAAUUAGCGCUUUCCUCGAAUUUGGCAUUAUAAAUUUCGUGUUACAGUUACAUAAAUGCGUCAAUUACGUUCCUCGAUUGAUAAUAUUUUCAUAAUUAUGCGUUUAAUUUUAAUUCGUGUACACUUUUGUACCUUAUUUUACUGUAUUCGAGAGAGAGAGAGAGAGAGAGAGAUGCUUAAUUUUAAGCGGAAACUCGGUUUAUUAAGCUUCAAGUUAAAGAGUAAGCUUUAAUUUUUAAUCUAUUUUUAACAAUAAUUGCAGUUUUAUUAAUAUUUUCUGGGGUUUGAUUGAAAGAACUCAUUAAAUCUCUACCGAUUAUUUCAAUACGGUUAGUGAUUUUAUAGAUAUUUAAAUGAAUAAUUAUACCAUUUUAUAUUGUAUCAAACUUAACAAAAUCAAAACUAUUUUUAUCUUCGAAGGGUUCCUCGAUUCCAAGACGUGUCCCUUCUGUAAUAAAACCUUCUCCACUUCGACUAAUCUGUGUCGUCAUCUGCUAUUGCACCAACCAAAUGCACCCAAGUACGUGUGUGACAUUUGUGGAUACCAAUCGAACCGAAAGGACAAUCUGAUUCAACACAAGAAAAGGCCCUGGGUACACGCGGCUCGAUGAAUGCAUUACAAAAAACUGGACGUUCCUCCUUCCUACCACCUCGUGUAAUGUUAUGUAGUUUGUUCGUAUCGUGUUCUGUUUGUCAAAUUUAAUUAUUAAGAUAAUAAAUGUUAUUUAUUGUCAACAGUCGUUUGUAAAUCCUUAAAAUUUACUCUCUCUGUUGGGUGGAGGGUUGGAAAGAAAGAGUAAAUUCAUUGUUACUACCUUAUGCUCCAUAUUUAGGCCUGUGAAUCUAUUUUUAGAUCUUUUCAUUGAUUAUUUGCACUGGUUAAUCGUAAUUUUUAAGUUCGAUAUUUAAGGAAAAUAUUCCAAAGGUUGAUUUUGACCUAAGUUAGUUGGUCUUUUUUCCAUUUAUUUAAAUUUAAUUUAAUUAACUUUAAUCUUCGGUGUUAUUAUUUAUAUUUUUAACAUUAAUUUUAAUCAGAAAUUAAUAUUGCAUUUUAUGAAAGCUUGGCACAUUUUAUAGGGAUUCUUCCAGAAACGUUUACUAACAAUUUCUGAUUUCUCCAGCUGCUUAUAUGUAAAUUGUUCAUUAAAAUUAUAAAAAAAUUAUUUAAAGUAAAAUAUUUAUAAAUCCGUAUUUAACACUGUUUAUCUUCCUUCCAAGUUACCAAGGUCCACUUUUGUACUCUCUGCCAGAAGUCAUUCUGCACCUCGACAACCCUCAAACGUCACAGUUUGAGUCACAAACCAGAUGCACCCAAGUAUUCUUGUGAUAUCUGUGGAUACGCGUCUGUUUGGAAAGAUGCUGUGAUCCGACAUCGACGACUCGUCCACAAACAGGUUUAAUUAUUAUCUUGCCGCUAACGAGGGUAGGUCCUUUUGAUUUCUCAUCGGUAAAAAAAAAAACUACCUCCUAUCUCGUAACGUUAUAUGUUACGAAAAAAAUAUAUCUAUAUCGGAUUAUUUUAACAGUUUUUCAGGAUUCCAAGACAUUGCAGUAAUAAAGGAUCACCGUCUCACAGUUCUACUCCAUUCAAUAUUACACUAACAUAAAAAAAAUCGUUAAUUCUAGCAAAAUUUUAUCGAAAAUAACAUUUGAACUGUUGAGAAUUCUAGAACAUGUUAUAGUAUUGUAUAUAUUUUAUAAACUGAUCUUUUAUUUCGGAUACCUUCCGAUAAUCCAUGAUUUAAUUUAAGGUUUUUUUCUUUAAGGAAUUCUCACGAGAAACUUAAUAAAGAAUAAAGAAAGUAUUUUGGUUACAGGUAACAAGAUUCGUAAACCCAGGACUUGCGGUAUUUGUCAAAAAACCUUUGGAAACCACAGUUUGUUGAAACGUCACCUUCUCGUGCAUCGUCCGGAUUCUCCUUUGCAUCGGUGCGUACUUUGUGGCAGAAAAUCAAUCUGGAAGGACAACAUUAUCAAGCACAUUCGUUUGUUCCACGCUUUCGAAAUCGGUUCCAACGAUUGGACAACUUAUCUGGUGUCUGACGAAUCUUUAAUAUGAAAUCCUAAGGACUGAGGGUGUUUGGGAACACAUUUGAAGACCCUCGACUGCUUUCGAGAACCUGUCCGAUCUGUCGACGUGUGUUUACCAGGAGGUCGGAUCUAAGACGUCAUUUCAAGCUACACCAACCGGAUGCUCCUCGUUACGUGUGUCCAGUAUGCGGUUAUUCGUCUCUGUGGAAGGACAAUUGGCUGAAACACGUCCGAAUCGUACACUAUCAAAAUCCGGCAGAACACGUGAACACGACCGACCAAUAGGGAUCAAUGUAUAUGUUGCGUCACGAGAUUAACCCCCUUAUUAAUUUAUUUGUUAGUAACUUUCUC
rnacentral:lncRNA from 1 species